rnacentral:rRNA from 1 species
UACGUAGGUGGCAAGCGUUGUCCGGAUUUACUGGGCGUAAAGAGCGCGCAGGCGGCUGAUUAAGUCGAAUGUGAAAGCCCCCGGCUCAACUGGGGAGGGUCAUUCGAUACUGAUCAACUUGAAGGCAGGAGAGAGAAGUGGAAUUCCCGGUGUAGAGGUGAAAUUCGUAGAUAUCGGGAGGAACACCAGUGGCGAAGGCGGCGAUCUGGGCUGAUACUGACGCUGAGGUGCGAAAGCGUGGGAGCAAACAGG